CCUACGGGAGGCAGCAGUGAGGAAUAUUGGUCAAUGGGCGGGAGCCUGAACCAGCCAAGUCGCGUGAAGGAAGAAGGAUCUAUGGUUCGUAAACUUCUUUUGCAGGGGAAUAAAGUGCAGGACGUGUCCUGUUUUGUAUGUACCCUGAGAAUAAGGAUCGGCUAACUCCGUGCCAGCAGCCGCGGUAAUACGGAGGAUCCGAGCGUUAUCCGGAUUUAUUGGGUUUAAAGGGUGCGUAGGUGGUUUGAUAAGUCAGCGGUGAAAGUUUGCAGCUUAACUGUAAAAAUGCCGUUGAAACUGUCGGACUUGAGUGUAAAUGAGGUAGGCGGAAUGCGUGGUGUAGCGGUGAAAUGCAUAGAUAUCACGCAGAACUCCGAUUGCGAAGGCAGCUUACUAAGCUACAACUGACACUGAAGCACGAAAGCGUGGGGAUCAAACAGGAUUAGAUACCCUGGUAGUCCACGCAGUAAACGAUGAUUACUAGCUGUUUGCGAUACACAGUAAGCGGCACAGCGAAAGCGUUAAGUAAUCCACCUGGGGGAGUACGCCGGCAACGGUGAAACUCAAA
rnacentral:rRNA from 1 species